rnacentral:ribozyme from 1 species
AAAAAAAAAAUGGAUUCAUCAGACUCAAAGCGCGAGAGACGAUACGAUUAUGGGGUCGCCGCUGCGCUACUGGUCGGAUAUCUUGGGUUGAAUAUUACGCUGAAUGUCUAUCACAAAUGGCUCUUCUCUGGGCCUUUAAAGGCUCCCCUAU